UCCAGGACUGAACCGGGACUGAUCCAAAGC
rnacentral:piRNA from 1 species